CCAAUAGCGUAUAUUAAAGUUGUUGCAGUUAAAAAGCUCGUAGUUGAAUUUCGGGGUUUAUCCGUCGGUCGGGCUUUUGGGUCUGUACUGGCGUGAUGGAUUCCUACCUUCUGAAUAACCGGCAUGUCAUUAAUUUGGUGCGCCGGGGAAGCAGGACUGUUACCUUGAAAAAAUUAGAGUGCUUAAAGCAGGCUUAUGCCUGAAUACAUUAGCAUGGAAUAAUGAAAUAGGACGGCAUGGUUCUAUUUUGUUGGUUUCUAGGAUCACCGUAAUGAUUAAUAGGGAUAGUUGGGGGCAUUAGUAUUCAAUUGUCAGAGGUGAAAUUCUUGGAUUUAUUGAAGACUAACCUCUGCGAAAGCAUUUGCCAAGGAUGUUUUCAUUAAUCAAGAACGAAAGUUAGGGGAUCGAAGACGAUCAGAUACCGUCGUAGUCUUAACCAUAAACUAUGCCGACUAGGGAUCGGACGAUGUUAAUUUUUUAAUGACUCGUUCGGCGCCUUACG
rnacentral:rRNA from 1 species